rnacentral:rRNA from 1 species
CAGUAGCCGCGGGAACACGUAGGUGGCAAGCGUUGUCCGGAAUUAUUGGGCGUAAAGGGCUCGCAGGCGGUUUCUUAAGUCUGAUGUGAAAGCCCCCGGCUCAACCGGGGAGGGUCAUUGGAAACUGGGAAACUUGAGUGCAGAAGAGGAGAGUGGAAUUCCACGUGUAGCGGUGAAAUGCGUAGGGAUGUGGAGGAACACCAGUGGCGAAGGCGACUCUCUGGUCUGUAACUGACGCUGAGGAGCGAAAGCGUGGGGAGCGAACAGGAUUAGAUACCCCAGUAGUCCCUGUCUCUUAUAC